AUUGUAAAUAACAAAACUUCUUAGCAGUUUCGUUCGAUUCAAAUUUCAUAGUACACCAUUUUCCCUUCACUUGUGCUUCAAUCUCUCCAACUAUUUUUGCGUCGACUCUAUCGAAUUCAGAUGCAAUACCAAUCGAGAAUCGUGGCCACCGCCGACUCGGAUCUACAUUACCGGAGAAUGGAGAUGGAGUUGAAUAAGAGGAAUAAGAUGGCGUUGAAACCGCUGUUUUUUUUCAUCGCAGAGUUUCUGCGACAACAAGGAACUUCUGCACAAGAUCAUAUGCAUGUUAGAAUAUUGUGAAGGAGGUUGUUAGUGUUGGCCAUUGUUUCUACGAUUAAGGCAGGCUCAGCCAGAAGUUUUCUCUGCCCCGUUUUUGUUAAACAAUCCAUAAAAGGUUCUGCAUGGUUCAAGCUACAGGAGCAUUCAUGGACAUCUUAACAUCUUUUCUAAGCCAAGUAGUAUUCAAAUAUAUUGCUCGAUCUAUACAUUGGUAAGUAGAGAGAGCCCACAUUCACCAGCUUGUUACAUGGAACUUAUAU